UACGUAGGGUGCAAGCGUUGUCCGGAAUUAUUGGGCGUAAAGAGCUCGUAGGCGGUCUGUCGCGUCGAUCGUGAAAACUUGGGGCUUAACCCUGAGCUUGCGGUCGAUACGGGCAUGACUGGAGUUCGGCAGGGGAGACUGGAAUUCCUGGUGUAGCGGUGAAAUGCGCAGAUAUCAGGAGGAACACCGGUGGCGAAGGCGGGUCUCUGGGCCGAUACUGUCGCUGAGGAGCGAAAGCGUGGGGAGCGAACAGG
rnacentral:rRNA from 1 species